rnacentral:rRNA from 1 species
GCGAAAGGGAAAGAGGCCAAACCAAAUUGUUUACAGUUUGGGGUUGUGGACCACCGACAUUGACGAAGUUAUGCGAGCCGAAUAGGGUUGGAAAGCUCAAGCAGAGAAGGUAAUACUCCUGUAGGCGAAGCAGAAAGCGCAUAGGUGGCACCAGAGUAGGACCGGACACGUGUAACCCGGUCUGAAGCAGGAGGGACCACCCUCCAAG